rnacentral:rRNA from 1 species
GAUGAACGCUGGCGGCGUGCUUAACACAUGCAAGUCGAACGAUGAACCGGGUGCUUGCACUCGGGGAUUAGUGGCGAACGGGUGAGUAACACGUGAGCAACCUGCCCCUGACUCUGGGAUAAGCGCUGGAAACGGCGUCUAAUACUGGAUAUGUCCCGUCACCGCAUGGUGUGCGGGUGGAAAGAUUUUUCGGUUGGGGCUGGGCUCGCGGCCUAUCAGCUUGUUGGUGAGGUAAUGGCUCACCAAGGCGUCGACGGGUAGCCGGCCUGAGAGGGUGACCGGCCACACUGGGACUGAGACACGGCCCAGACUCCUACGGGAGGCAGCAGUGGGGAAUAUUGCACGAUGGGCGGAAGCCUGAUGCAGCAACGCCGCGUGAGGGAUGACGGCCUUCGGGUUGUAAACCCCUUUUAGCAGGGAAGAAGCGAGAGUGACGGUACCUGCAGAAAAAGCACCGGCUAACUACGUGCCAGCCGCCGCCGUAA